UUGAGUGCAUGGGCCCGUGCAUGUGUUUAUUGUAGUUUGAAGCAGGAUUUCAUACACACUAGGCGAGUGCUCUGCUAAGUGCCCAGCUCUUUCACUGUUCUUUUUCACACAAGGUGUUCCAUACAUCCCCAGGCUGGUGUGAGCUGACUGUUUAUCUCAGAACAGGGCUUGACCCUGAACUCCUUCUACCUCACUUUCCCAAGGAACCAAGAUUAGAGGCCUGUGCCAAUAGGCCCAUGCAAGGAUCAUAUAUUUCUGACCCUGACAGAGGAGACUCCUCCCAAAAGGGGAUUCAUUCUUUUUCUCAGAGGUUCCAGACCAUAUAUAUGUGUUACAAUUCCCAAAAGGCUGUUGUUGUUUGACUAACAUGGGCAAUAAACACCUACCGGCCAGAAAAAGCAAAUAGAGUAAAAUCAGUCUUCAGAAUCCAACCUGGCUGGUCUGUGAGCCUUAUCAAGUAGAGUGGGUGGGACAUUCAGGUAGUAUUAUUUAUCCAGUACCUGACCUUGUGGCAAACACUAUAGAUUUGCAUAAAUGACAAUAGUGAUACAAAAAGAGAAGCAUUUCUGUUUUAGAAACACAAUCUUCUUAGGUAUCUGCUCUCCUCUCAGGCUUGGUGUGUGCUCACACUUUUAAGGACUAGCACUUGUGGCUCUGUGUCACUGGCUGUCCCUUGGUCUAUCUAGCAGGGCUUGCUUGACAGAACUGGAAGCAGUUCAGAAUUCACAUCUCCUCUCCUUCCCCAUAACUCUUCCCCAAGCACUACCAAAUACAAAAACAAAGGCCAGCUUCUGAGUGGGGCCAACAUUGCACAUAUCAGAGGCAGCUAGGCUGAAGCUGCAACUCUGUCAGACUUUGACUUGAGGCAACGCACCAGCUUGGCUUCCUACACACUUCUGUCUUGGCUUCCCAUUUAGUCUCGGAGUGCUUUGUGUCACUCAUGCUCUUUCUGUCAUCCAUUUAACCCUUCUCAGAGGAAGGAAGGACCAAAUAGGGGAAACCUGGAAGAAAGCUCAUGCUCCCGGCCAUAUUUGUUCAAGAGUUUCUUGCCUUUAGAGCUAAGGAUUGGCUGGAAUCGCAAACCCUUUAUGAGGAGUCCUCAGAAGGAUGCUGUUGAUUCACAGAGGUCUAGGUAGGUGCACUCCAUUCAGUGUAAACUGACAUUGGAGCCCAAUAGCCAAUGGGCUUGAAUUUAUUCCAAAGAACAUACUCCUUAUAGGUAGAUUUUUACCAUCUAUGCUUAAAGUACCUUCUAUAACAUAAAUGAACACAUGAGAACUGUCACAGGAAGAAGAAAUCAUUCUAUGUUAAUUUCCUCUCAAAGCUAAAGCUGGGUAAUCAGAGUCGUGAGCUGACUGUGUUAUCUGCCUACAAACAACUGUUGGAUUGAGUGGGGGUUGGGUAGUAAAUUAAGGUUCAGACAUAGUCUUUAGGUAUGGGAGAGGCCAUGGCAAAGCUACAAGAUAGGAGUGUUUUAAAUUCAGAAAGACCCUGAAGUCCUGGCAAAUUAAUUCAACCUGAAGCAUUUGACAUAAUAUUUAGCCCACCUCACUCUAAUUAUCCCUAAAUUAUAGAAUUGCUAUGACUUUUACAUGAAAUUAUAUGUACAAAGGAUGCUUUGUUAAGCUUGGUGCAUAGUAGGUAUUUAGUGAUGGUACUUGUGUUUUAAUGAAUUACUUAGUUGCAAAUAGAAUUUGCUCAAAUUAGGAAGGAGGGAAGAACCAUUUGGGGGAAUUAUAUAAAGCAUGGUUGGCGUAGCCUCAAGGACUAGGAAACUGCCUACUCACACAGCAGUGAUUCUAGGCUUGUGAUCUAGAGGAGACAGAGACAAGGUGUGCCUUAGGAGAAGUCCAUUGUCUCAUUGGAAUGCUGCCUCCUGCAUUGUUAAAUAAUCAAAGUGAAAAGAAAAAGAAAAGCAAAAACAAAGGAAAAAGAAAAAAACAAAAGAAAAAUGGAGCUAGGUCUGUGAAAUUCUGUAUUCUGCUGUAAUCUUUGUAACCUUUAAAACUGCAGACAGACAAGUAGUUCUUAUUUAGUCAGGGACUGCUUGUUGAGGUUGGCCUCUGUUGAAUUAAGGGCCACUUUGAUUUAUUCUCUGUAUACAGGCCAAUUAGUUUGUUCUUUCAGUCUUAACUUCCCCAAUCUUUAACUGCGUAGUUGAGACAAAGAGCCCUGGCCUUCCCCAAAGGAUACCCAAAGUCCUCUCCUCCACCCUGAUGAUCAUAGGUAGAGAUAGCAAUUAAAGGAAUAGUGUAUGAAUUCUGAGUUAAGGAUUUGAAAUGGUUCCUCUAAACACUUCUCCAUCUGUGGGUCAUGUAUCAGAUAUUUAUAUUAUGAUUCAUAACGGUAGCGAAAUUACAGUUAUGAAGUAGCAACAAAAGUAAUGGUUGGGGUUCACCACAACAUGAAGAACUGUAUUAAAGGGCUGCAGCAUUAGGAAGGUUGAGAACCAUUGAUCUACCAUGACCAAACCUGGGGAGAGGACCUGUAAGACUGUGGGGUGCUGUAGAUUUUAGAUAAUUAUCCUGUUUCCUUAUAAGAUGACUUGUGUUGGCUUUCUUUUAUUGUUGGUUUGUUUUUAUCUCUUCCAUGAUCUGAAUGCAGUUUUUAGCUAAACAUUUUUCUUGUAAAAACAAACCACUCAGUAUUAUUCAUCUCUGAGCUUUAAGAAUUUUGGAAACUUAAACCAAUAGAGAAGGCAUUACAAGGCUCAGUGCUCUUGGGUGAUGAGGAUGAGAAUCUGGGAGGAGUCUUGGGUUGAUGGAUGAUUCUGACCUACAGCUAUUGUCUUUCCUUCUUCCCAUGAGGACGGACCCAUGCUACCUAUAAGAGACAGUCACAGCUUUAAGUGAAGGCAUUCUCAGGAGACCUGCCUCUUGUAUCAAGACAAGGCAAGAAGCCCUGGAAGCUUUUUGCAUUUCUUCUCUCAGCCAUGUUUGAUUCAGUGUUUAAAUCCUGAAAGAAAUAACAGCUGUUUUUGUACCAUCCCAUGGCUUACAGGGAGCCCAGGCUGCUUUGUGAUGGAGUGCUUGCGGGAUUUAGAAACGCUGACUCCAUAGGGCUGCUAGGAACAGACACAGGAAUAAAACAAGCUUUGGCAGCAUUGAUCAUGGCCUUGCUGAUGAAAAAUGCAGUUCCAUGUGGCCAGAACAUACCUUGAACUGCAGUCCCACUUCCUCAUUUACAAGAGGCCAAAAUCUGGCAGUGCAUGGCUGAAUCGGCCACCAGGGUCAUGGAGCAUAUUGGGAGCCAGGGAAGUACAGAGGAAGCACCAAUGUAAUGCUGCCUCAACUUCUCUCACUUGUUAGAUAGAUGUCAGUUAGCUGAUUUUUCUGGAGUGAUAUGAGGCUACAACCACCUUGAGGCUGAUUUUCCUAACCUUCUCAAUGUUAGUGAAGCCUGAUCCACAGUUGGGACUCUCAGGCAACAACAUCGAUCACAAACUCAAUACCAGUCAGGCAGUUCAUGGACUCAAUGUGUUCCUUCCUUUUCUUGUGUCCACCUUUCUUACUUUCCUUGUUCUCAUCCCCUUCCCCCUGUUUCCUCUUUAUUCCAUAAUGCUUUGAGAGAUGUCUCCUAUUCUCAGCAGGGGUUUUCUUUCAUCGAUGGCGGCCCAGAUCAUCUAGGCUGACCCAGAAGUGAAAUACCGUCACUGCCUUCUGCUUCCCCAGUUUCCAGUUUCUGGGUUGAAGAAGACAGAGCUGAAAGGCAGAAGCGAUCUGCCAUGGCACGUCAUUCUCUGGGUGAACGUAAGGUUGAUCGUUUACUCUGGAUUCAUGCAGAAGGUGACCGAAGGUGCUGAGUUUGUGUACAUUCCAUCUGCACAUUUUACAGGCAGUAGAAUUAAACUACCAAAUAAAGAGUAUGCACAAUAUAAUUUGAGUAUCUUACUACCCAUCUAAACCAGUGUAUGGUUUAGAGACUAAAAUAGCUAUUGGGGAGACCAUUGCAGACUUUCAGAACUUGAAGGAUACAUAGUGAUAAACCAAUCCACUCCUUUCCUAUACAGUAGAUUUGGCAGAUUAAGAGGAAAUUUGUCUAGGGCACACUGGUGUGUAGUGGCAGAGACCUUUGCUUAAAGUGCCUGGCUUUUCAUUCUUCAUACUACAACCUCUUAGCCUGUAAGAUUCCCAAAUAUUUUCACCGUCUACAUUUUGAAUAACAAGAAUUGAGCUGAGGAUUAUUGGAGGCAAAGGUUAUAUAAAGAAUGAAGACAUUAUUGAGUCACAGUCCUGACCUUGGUUGAGCGAAGUGACAAGAAGGCAUGGAAAAUGAUGCUUGCAUAGACCCAUGUGCAGGGGGGAAAAAAUCCGUGUUCUUGGAGAUCUGGACAUAAGUGCUGAUUUAGAUACUUACCAACUGUAAUCUUAGAAAAGUCUUUUCCUCUUCUCAUGCGUAAUGCAAAGGAAAUUAUUUCUGGGGCUCUUCCUUCAGAAUUUUAUUGUGCAGUUCCAAAUGUACAUGUUUUAAUUCAACAAAAUUUUUAAUGCAUACUUCUUAUGUAUAGGUUAUAUGGUCCCAGGAACUGGCGGUUCCACAAUGAGUGUGGCAUGAGGCAGAUACUUAUGAUAACAGAGCAUCAUUUUUGCAUAAAGGGACAAAAAAUGUUACAACCUCAAGGGUCACUCUUCUCCCUGGAAGUAGUAGCUGGAAAAAUAUCCACCUGUCUCCCUGCUCCCCACAGCCCAGAGUUCUAGGGUUUGCUGUUUCCUGUGGAUAGAGUGGCACAUGGUGCAGUGGUGAUGUUUAAAACACUGUCUUUGAAAUAUUAUGACUGUAUGUGUUUGUGUGCGUGUUUCAAGGGUGACCUAUAUCUUUUAAAGAGAGAACUGUGGCCCACAAGUAAAAAUACAAUGAAGACUAUUAGGAAGUCAGGGCUGAAAUCCUGCUGUUGUUAUCUCCAGCUUGCUUUGGGGCACCUGGAAUACUGACAUACUUUUCUUGAUUUCUUCUUGCUCUACUCAGGGAAGAAACUUUCCCUGACUAUACUGGUCAUGAGGUCAAGAUGGCAGUGGACUUGGAACCAUGAAAAGAAGCAGUGCAUUUGCAACAUCUGUGCUGGGUUUGUUGCAAGGUGAUGGCACCCUGAGGUGAAUGCAGUCCCUGUCAACCUGACCAAAUUGCAUGAGACACAAGUGAAAGCCAUUGAGCCAAGAAGCCCCCCAGGACUAAUGAGAGAAAAGAAGUUGUGUUAUUGUAUAUGUUCUGGAGUGUUUUUUUUAAAUACAGCAAAGGAUACUGAGCAAUAACGAUCAUGGACAUCAUGAGAUCAAUUCGAGGAUGGACAUUCAUGUUGAGUGAGUGAUUGCAUGCCAAAUCUCCUUCUCCCAGGGAGACCUGGAACCCUUCCUAUCUGCCACCCAUUUCACAGGCCAAAGGACUGGUGAGUCGCUGGUGAGCAUGACCUCAGACACAUGUCAUUAUGAGUGAGUGCUUGCCCACCUUCAUCUCAAUGCUGCUUUUUUAAAAUCAUUUAUUUACUUUAUGUACAUUGGCGUUUUGUCUGCAUGUAUGUUUGUGUGAGGAUAAUGGAUCCUCUGCAACUGGAGUUACAGAGAGUUGUGAACUGCCAUGUGGGUGCUGGAAAUCGAACCCAGGUCCUCUGCUCUUGACCACUGAACUAUCUCUCCACCCUCUACCCUCAUUUCUACCCAUGCUACUCUCUUCUAUUUGUCUCCUCAGUUCUCAUAAGUAAUUUUCUUUAUGUUUAUAAUCAAACUUCUCUCUUGAACAUAGUUCCCUAUAUUCUUUCUCCCUCUUCAGUCCCCACUUAUUGUUAAAGUGUUCCCCAUACUAAUGCUCCCAUACUCCCUCUCUGCCCACAGGACUGACAACUUCCUCUCUGAGGCUCUCAUUCAGUGUUGGAUGGCUAAUGUUUUUGCCUGCCUGGCCUCCCUUGAGUUUUAUUUUGGUACUAUGGAGAAGUCAACCUUUACUCAAGCUCUGGGGAUAGACAUUCUCCCAGAGAAAACUCCCAUAAAUCAAAGAUACAUCAGAUGAUCAUACCCAGAACUUUGUCCUGAAUGUUCUAGUGUUUGAUCUGGCAUUGUUAGAAGAUGAUUAUUACUGAGUGUAGACACCAAGAGUGUAGAUGCCAAUGUUUGCCUGUUGCCUGGCACUGAGGACCUGAAUGCCUUACAUGUACUGUGUUCCCAAGCCUGCUUAUUUAUUGAUUAUUGUGUGUCUGCCUUUUGUUUUAUAAACAGUUAUUCCCUGGAGGAGAGUAUUUUUCAUACCCUCUACCAGUUUUUCUCUCUCAAAGUCUCUUUUCUUUUCAUAAACAAAUUAUUUUUAAAUUAAAAUCUUCUGGGCCUUGCAUAUGCUCAGUCAUUCCCAUGUGGCUGUCUUGCCCUGGCUGGUGGACUGUGGAACUGUAGGGAGACUGCGUGUUUUCACCAUGGCUCUCUGUGUGCCAAGUUGGAACUCAGCCCUCACAGAAGGUUGACAGGCACUUCUGGAAGAAAACAACAUUUUGUUAGUGCCCAGACUUUCUUGCUGGGUUUACAGUGCUGGUUGUACGAAGUCUAGUAUUAACAUGGCAUACCCUUGGAACUAUGAUUGGAGGAAUAUUCUAGAAAUCUAAUAGAGUUGGCUUAUAGAAAAUAUCAUGAUCCUAGGUUGAAAUUAAGUUGGAGGAGGAAAUAGGAGUUCAAGGGUGUGGGGAACAAGUGUCUGCGGCCUUAACUUCUACAUGUAUAGCUUAAGCUUCCUUAUCCUGGAAAAUCAAGGUCAGAUAUUCUCAAGAAUAUGCACCUGCCUUGUUUAUUUGUUUGUUUGUUUUUCUCAAGAUAGUUUUUAUUCUGUAGCCCAGGCUGGUUAGAACUCACAGGCCUCAAUUCAUGGCAAUUCCCUUGCUUACAUAAAUGAGUCACCACAUUUUGCUUAACACUGUCAAGCAUGAUGUUAUUAGAGGAAAAUUCCACACUAUAAAUUUUGUCUUAUUUAGAGUUGGUCCUAUUUCCAAAAUUUCUCACAUACAUGUAAACAUUCCAAACUCCCAAAAUAUCAGAAGUCUCAAACACUCCUAGUCCCAAGUAUUUAGGAUAGGGAUACUCAGUUCAUCCCUCCCCAUUGUCUGUUUGUAUCUGCCUGUCUAUGAUUUGCCACUGCCAUAAGUACAGAAGGAAGAUCUAUGGUGUCUCUGAGUCAGUUGACUGUAGGAAGAAAAGCCAGUGGUGAAGGGUGACAGGGGCAAAUCUAAGGUUUGUAAACAUGGUAUCUGCUUUGUUGUCCCACUGGACAUUCCUUUCUUGUCAUGCCUGUGCAUGUUGGUGGCUUCCAUUUUCCAAGACCAGAGAAAGCCCAAAUGCCUUUGCCAGUCUGGGAAUGUAUUUGUGGUACAGGGGUUGGGUAGACAGAUGAGUACAGAGGAGAUGCCUGAAGAAGCUACGAACCAUGGACAAUAAAAAGCUACGGGAUAAAGACUUUCGGUCUUUUCAGUCGUGGUGGCAUGUUCUAUGCAAUCUCCCAGCAACCCCUCAGUGAAGCUGAGUUCCUUCAUCGAGCUGCCUCACCAUUCCAGUCUCUCUCUUAUUUGUGCUUUGUACCGAGAUCAUUGUCUUGGGUGUUUUUCCAUUUAACAGCUUCUUAAACUAUAUUAACUUACUACACUUUUCAACUGAUUUAUUUUUGGCACAGUCCUAAUAUGUAGGUGUGUGCAAUAGGUACACAAGCCGAACAGUGACAAUAAAUCUAAAGAAGUUGUUAUAAAGCAAUAUUUGUUACACAAGUAAAUUUAUUAUUUAUUAAUGGUGAAGGCAAAUUUUCAUGCUAGUGAUAGAAGUGUUUAUUUUUAUAUAAAGAAUGAAAUCUUGGCUGAAUAUUUGAUGCUGCAGGAUGCAUAGAGCAUCUUCAAUAUUUUUCAGAGUUGACUGAUAUUUUGAUUUUAUAAUAGUCUGUGCCAAUAACUCUGCUUUGCAUGAAUCUCUAGCACAGAAUGGCAGAAGGGUGUUAGGUGCUGCUUCAGAAGUUGCUGGAAAUUCUGUUUCACUCCUAAGCCAAAAUCCAUUGAUUGAUUUUUUUCUUUCAUGAGACUGAAGUUAGCAAUUCAAAUAGUAAUUUUAAAAUCAAACAUCCUAACACAAUUGAACUCAAUGUUGUAUUAAUUUGAUACGUGCUGAGGAAUGACUAUAGAAAAUAUUAAAAGCUGUUAUUUUCCAAAAUUAAACCAUUGAGUUUCUACAAGAGCAGAAGCCUUUGUAGGUACAAUAAAACAAUGCAAUUGGUAACAUACAAAAUAGUCUUAAAUCUGAGCCACGGUGUCCGAAGCACAUUCUCAGGUGUGGGGCAUGUACAGUGUAGAGCAGAGUGGACAUGUUGCAUGUUCAGAACCAACAGUAGAGAGAAGGCCCAUGAUAGGACAUGGUCAUGCACUACUGGAAACAUGUUAGCUUCACAAUGCAUUUGACUGUGGGUCAUUGCAUGCUCACAAACUUUUAAUUCUUAUCACAUUUCUAGACCAUCAAACUGGUCAUGUCGCUCAUCUAAGAAUCUAUGGUUUAGGAGAGACCCCAAUUCAAGAAGAAGGUUCUCAAACUGCAGAGCCAAUCACUGGCAAGAGUGGUGUGGUGUUUAUUAUAGUUAGAAAAUAGGUGACAAUGUUCUCAGGACACAAGUUAUGCCUAAUGAUUCCCUCCCCCUCUCUCUACUCCUCUCCCUCCCUCCCUUUGUCUCUCUCUGUCUCUGUCUCUGUCUCUGUCUCUGUCUCUGUCUCUCUCUCUCUCUCUCUCUCUCUCUGUGUGUGUGUGUGUGUGUGUGUGUGUGUGUGUGUGUGUGUUUGUCUUGGUAGGUUUGAGAUUGGAAUACUGUCAGAAUUACUUUGGACUGGAAGAUGAAUGAUAGAAACCAGUCUAGAUUCACCCUUGAAAUAAACAAAACUGAGCCUUCUACAUCAAACCGUUUUCUGCAAAAGUCCUGACUGACCUCCCCCAGCUGCCGUAGUAAGAACACAUUAGUUGAUAGCACAAAGCAUUUUCAGCUCUUGGAAAAGGAAAUGAUGUCGAUGUUCAGACACUUAGUUUCUUUACUUAUUAAGGGAUCUUUUUGGUUUUAAUAGUGCAGUGGUUUUGAUAUCCAGUUCUGAAAUGGCAGCAUUAUGAGCUGAGCUAUGGCCAUGAAUCGUGCUGAUUUUCAAACAGCUAUGCUUAUUACAAAUUCACCAACAUAAAAAGUGCCACAGUGAUGAACUCGUGUGUCCUGAGCUAUGAAAUCAUGAAAAUUUAAUGGUUGCACUUUUGUUGCCCCGAAUCCUGUUUCCAUUGUUGCUGCUUCGUUCCUGUUUAACAUGCUUGAAGCAUUCCACAAUCUAGCAACCUGAUCCUUUCAAGACAGCUUGUCUUUCACUGUGUCCAGAGCUGGGACCAAGGGCUUUGAUCUUUCCUGCAUCCACUCUACAAACUGGCAAUGAAUUCUCUUACAUAGCUGACAGGCUGUAGUGAAAUACCAACAGUGGCAGUGAUGUUUUAGUUGGAGCUGGGAAAAGGGUAUGGCUUUGGACUCAGAUUAAGGAUUUCACACUAAGAUUUAAAACACAAAACAAACAGCAUUUUUGAAUUCUUCCAAAGUGAUUCUUGUGAAUGGGUUCAAACUUAUAAGAAGCAUAUAUGUGUAUAAGAAAUAUAUAUAUGUAUACGAUGUAUAUGCACACAUAUAUGUGUAUGUGCAUGUGUGUAUAUAUACAUAUAUAUUGCUAUGUUUGCACUAUGAUAUAUGAUUUUUCCAUUUAUAUCUUGGGCAGCUUAGGAAAAUUGUGACUACUCAUCAGAAUCAUUUUUUGCAGAUUAGUUAAUGACUUUAGAGAUACAAAGUGACUUAAGGUCACAUCCCUUAGGAACAGAGUUGGCUUUGCUGUUAGUCCUGUCCUUGUGGUUGUGUCUUACUCUUAUGUAGGUAUUAGGUUCUUCAUCAGCAUAUUUGUCUGAAUCUAACUUUCCCUACCACUGAACACCAUUUUUCAGGAAAACAUAAUCCCAUGGAAGCCCCUACCAACACUAUGAUACUGCCAUGGGUUGUAGAAAUGUGUGCCUAUUCCAAUUAUUAUGUAAUCUUUAAUUUCAUCGUUGUUAUCGGAGGAUGAAUUUACCUACUUAUCUACAUCUAAGAUCAUGAAUCAUUUUGUGGAUGAUUCUUUUGAGACCUCCUUUCAGGAACCACAGAGAUCUUCACCAUGGGUGUUCCCAGCAGGUCAUACCUUAAGCUGGGUGGCUUCCAGAGAGAAUGUUUCUGAGACACAGAUGAACACAAACUUGGCUUACUUCUCCAGAUUUAAAUGGUGAGCCAUUAUGCCAGGUGUGGCGGUAUACACUUUCAAUCCCAGCACGUGGUAGGCAGAGGUAGGCACAGAUCUCUGAGUUCAAAGCCAGCCUCGUCUGCAGUCUGGACAGUCAGACCUAUAUAGAGAAACCCCAUCUCAAAACAAAACAAAACAAAACAAACAAAAAAGGUGGCUUGUAUACUGCUUUCUUUGGAGUCAUUGAAGGCUUGCUGUGUAUUUUUCCCAGACCUGCAUGCUAGGGCUUCAUGAAGCUCCACAAUCACUGUGUAAUUCUGCACAUUUAAAGAAGCCCGGGUUGGGGAUUUAGCUCAGUGGUAGAGCGCUUGCCUAGCAAACGCAAGGCCCUGGGUUCGAUCCCCAGCUCCGAAAAAAAAAAAAAAAAGAAAAAAAAAGUGUAGGUAAAGAAGCCCGACACAGCCACAACACUCACUUCCUAAGCUCAAAGGAGCCCACUGGGCCACAGCUCUUCCUGGAAACCAUUCAAGCUUUCUUUCCUUUGCUUUGUCACUACUGAGACUCCUUCUCUGUGCCGUGUCUAACUGGGACUCCAGGCUUUCUUUUAUCUGUUUGUGACGUUUAUCUCUUGAAAUGUUGUCUCUGAAUCAUUUUUCUGGGCACACUCAAUCAGCACCAUAUUGUAAGAAGAGUCUUCCUUUUGUCAGGUCAUUUUUCCACAGGUAAAUUCCUCUGGAGUCAGGGGAGCUGGAUUGUGCUAUGCACCUUCCCUACUUGGGUUUAGAUGAGUCUUGCACCCUCUUCACUGGCUCUCUGGUGAGAAGUAGGCGAUAGUGACAGACACACUGCCUUAUGCUUCCUGGGCCAUUUGGGUUUGUUUAGCUACUAAUACUUUCCAUAUGCAAUUGUCUAGUACCUUGUAAAAGUUUGCCAUGAACCUAAUGGCUGGAAUCAGGAUAAAUCAUUUUCUAUUUUUGUGUUUCAGUCUGGGUAUAUGUGAGCUGGUUUCUUGGCUCUAGGUCUUACAGGAGUGUAGAGCUGCUAAAGUGUUGGACAGGGCUGGGAUUUUUAUCUGAGCCUCAUGAUCCUGGCUCAUGGAAGAAUUUAUUUCUUUGUGGUUCUGUCACUGAUCAUCUGUUCUUUCUCCCCUUUGGUGCUAGGUAUUAAAUCCAAGAUUAUCAGGUCUGGGUGCUCUGCUACAGUGCUAGACUCUAGACUCUAGCUGUAACUCCUUGGCCAUGCCCAUCCCUUCUUACUUUACCCCCUGUCACUGUCUCCUGUAUGUGGCCUCUAGUUCUAGUUUAUAGCAUGCCUGAUUCCUUUUUCUCAGCCAAGCAGGAGAAUAUCUCUUGGCUGAUUCCCCUUAUAAAGACUGAAUCAGUUUGACAAAGGUAAUCUCUUUAAGGUUAACUCAGCAUCUCCAGGAGGCAAGGGGAUGACUUUUUUGUUCUUUUGGUUUUUCCUGGUGUCAUACUUGAUGUGUCUCAACAGAAAGGUAGCCUUAGUGUUCCUGGAUCACAUGCUAUAUGUUUAAUUAGGAACCUGAUAUCCGACAGCUCUGGUUAAUAGUACCGUGAGUUCUGAUCAUCAGUCGUUGGGUCUCAUUGGACUCACAGACGUCGGGUCUCAUUGGAUUUAGCCCUUGGCUUAGCAAUCGUGACUGGUCCUUAAUCAUCUAAAACUGAAAUUCUCACAGAUCCAGACUGUUCUUCCAUUGCUGCAAACAAAGACUCUGGCUUUACAGCAUGGAUAUACAAAGGUGAUCUCAGCUCAGAUGGCCUUUUUCAAUAAACUUUCGGCCAAUACUGACUCGCCUUGAUUUAUGAAAACCUCUUCGUUCUGAAGGUCCUUGAUGCAAACAGUUCCUGAAUCUUCGGGGAAUUCUCUGAUAUGUCUCAUGUUCUCCUUGGCUCAAGAUUCAGACUUCAACAUUUAAUCAACACCAGCCCAUCUGCUUUUGAGAUUAUAACACUUUGUUUCUGUCAAGUUUCCUACUUUUCUUACUGUUGCUAUAGAAGAGUUUGAGGAAGAAAUCUAAAAGAUUAUGCUCAAUGUGUCAUUUUACUCCAUUAAAGUGUAUGCAUUUAAGAGGUGCAACAUGAUGUUUUGAUAGACAUAUGCUCAGUGGAUGACUACUACAGUCAAACAUUAACAUAUCCUACGUGUCAUCUUCAACCAGAAGCCAGUUAAUGCCAUUAUUUGAAUGUUAGGAAUCUCUGAGUGAAAAACAGGCAUCCCAGUCGGGAAGACAGUGAAGUCACUGGGUAUUCUAUGAUACAGCUUUGGCAAGGCCUAAGAACAUAAUCUUGAGACUGUGCAGUAAACCAUUGGAAUGGGUAGACAUGAGUUAGAUUUCUUCAUGAUACAACAAUUUUUCAGGAGUUAUGAAUUGAUUAAAACAACUCUACUCCCUCAGUGAACUGGAUUAAAGGUUGAAGCACACACAAGACAUGAAUGGGACUCGAAGAUGAACAGCUCCUUCUCAUUGCACAAAUAGCAUGUGAUGUUUUAAGUUGAGUCCUUCCUGUUGGGGCAGCUAUAAACCUGUAAUUAGCAGAGUUAGUAAACUAGAGACCACAGUCAUUUGGGAGAUGGGCCUCUAAGCAUGCCUGUGUGGGGGAUUGCCUUGAUAAGCUUAACUCCUCUGGGAAGACCCAUCAUAACUGUGAGAGAUCCUGGAUUGCAUAGAGAAAAGGAGCUGAAUCUUAGCAGGCAUUCCUUCAUUGCUCUCUGUUUGCUGACUGUAUAUGAUGUGACCAGAUGCUACAAGAUCUUGCCGCCUUGGCUCUCUACCAUGAGGGAUUGAACUUUAAACUGUGAGCCAAAAUAAACUCUUUCUACCUUAAAAAGGUCUCUGGUGCAAACAUAUGACUUACCUUACCGUCACUGUGUAGGCAGUAGGAUGGGGUUCAUGGUAGGCUUUUGACCAAGACAUCCAAAUCUUGAGCCUUACCUUUCAGAUCCAUAGUCCUAAAAGAAUUGCAGCACAGCAUUUGGGAGAUCGCAGUAUUGAUCACCCAUAAAAAACCCAUAGUUCCUACAGACCUGGGGGCUUUAUCAGUUUCAAGACUUUCUCAUGGUUCCUUGUUUGAAAGACCAAUAUAAAAUGAAGUGAUCAAGCCAAAGACCAAGCCUUACUAUAAUGUUUUCCAUCUCUUUAUAGGACACAGCCUUUGAAUAACACUUACUGUUGACAGAUUUUUGACUAGGACUAACCUGUGCCAACAUUGAUGCCUGUAGUCAUCUUAAUGAACUUGAGAAAGCCUUUUUUUCCUUAAAGAGAAUGAAUUGUUAAAAGUAAAAGGAACAGGGGGAAAGAAAAAAAAAGGAUAGACUUUUAUUCCUAAACCUAAAUGUUCCAAUCUGGUAAAUGUAACUAUUUUUUUGUCUUCUAUAUUUUGUAUAUUCCUAUGAAGAAUCCCUUGGAAUAAACAAGAUUAGGUAAUAUAACAAAAUUAGUAUUUUAAGCUAUUCGGAAGAAAAUGAGUUCACUUAUUUCAUCUAUGUAUCUGUUGCAUGAGAACACAUAUGAAACAUUCAUUUAAACAUUUAUACACACCUACAAAUGUAUAUAGCUUAAACACGUAUAUGAAUUAAAGCCAUGUGUAUGAUGAGUUAUGAUGAGCAAUGGUUAUAUCUAAUUACAUCAUCUGAGCUUCCUCUCCUACCACAGCAGAGAGAUAGGUGAUGGGAUAAUGUGUGUCACCAAACUCUUCCCAAGUUCCAUAGGAAGCAGACAUGGGGGUACCUAGAGGUUAAAGAGAAUGCAGAAAUUGAAGUGCCAGUAAGACAAAGGUAACUUCAAUCUGAUCUCCAUUAGUAACUGACUUCUGUCAACAAUCAAAUGAUUUGAAAACAACUGCUCCCCUCUUCCCUUAAAAAUUUGGUAAAGAACCACUCAUUGCCUGUUUCAUUUUGACAUGAGCCUGUUGAGGCCUUUAUUGGCUUCUGAUCUAUGGAAGUAAAAAGUCAUUGAGUUGGGUGAGCUCAACUCAAACAACAAAACCAAAUUUGUACCGAUCUGUCUGACAGCAACAAAAUGCUCACGUGACAAUCCAAACACAAAAACUAACAGUUCCAUUUUCCUUCAUCUUUAAAGUCUUUUCUUUGUUUAUUGGAUGGCCUCCCAAUAUAAGACUUCAGAGUUUGCCUUUUUUCAAACAUGAACUAAUAUAUUUCUCUGGCAUUUCGUUUAGCAUUUGUUUCUUUGUAAGCAAAAUGACUCUAAUGUCUUUAGCUAUUAGUUUCAAAGUUUCCUCCAAUAUAUAUGUUGGCAGUUACUUUCUUUACGAUUUAUUUAUUUGUAUCCUAAGAUGUUGUUUCUUGUGCCAAGUUUGAAAACUGUAUGUAAAUAGAUCAACAAACAUGAAAAUAUGUGUAAUGUCAAGUUACCACCAAAAUGGAUAUAAAUAAGUGAAGAUUUGACUGGUCAUAUGGCAAAAAAUGAAAAGAUUGGUAACAUGGAGUAGAUUAAGUCCUGCUGAGUGGGAAGUGAGAUAUGGGACUUUAAAAAUAUAAGAUUAUGAAGCUGUGUUAGUUGGUUUUUCAACUGAGCAAUAAUUUGAAGAAUAAAGUUAUUUGGCUCAUGGGAAGGUCAUGGUAGAACAGGCCAUGUCAUGGCAAUUGGGAAGGGCAGAGGGGAUGCCUGUGCCAGUGUGGACUUUCCAUACUCUCCCUUUCAUUCUGUCUUUCCAUCUGCCUCACCUCGGAAGUCCUAUAUGGAAAGGAAAUAUGAUAGCAUUCCCGUAAACAAAAACGUGAUUUCUGCAUAGCCUGGAGAUGUGCACCAAGGAAAAGAGGUCUCUUCUGGUAAUGUUUGAGGUCAUAAGACAUUGGAACUAAAUGGCCAAGAAAGCAUACUGGACCUGACAAGACAGAAGAACAUUUCAAAAGAGUAAGGCACAGGAAAGGAGCAUUCGUCUUUCGUCUUUCAACAUUUAUGUACCAGUUUAAUCUUUUACAGUGAGACUCUCUCUCAUUUUUUAUCCCUAAAGUUGUUUUAUAAAGGGAAGAUAGUUCUUUGGAGGUCUUCCAAGAGAAAUCCAGAUCUACUUUCACUUUUCAGAGCACAAAUGAAAUCAGCACAUUGUUAAGCCCAAAAAGUUCAGGCAGCAGGUGGAUAAUUUAGUCAUGGAGCUGGCUGGUUAGUUAUUUCGAUAAUUGAAUUUAGGCCAUCACGGAUAAUGUAAUCCAGUUUAAUUUGCAAAAAUGUCAGGCCUGGAGACAGAUCAGAAGGAAAGCAUUUGGUGAUGGCAGAAACGUCACUGGAGAGAUUUACAUAGUGUUAUGAGCUGUCUAAGAAGCGACCCUUUCACAGUAUCACGGCUACAUUGAAGAGAUUUGAUUAAGAGCCUUGGCAAUCUGGUGUGUGCCAUUAAUGUUAGUGUUACAUAAUGCAUUUUGAUAAUUUAUUUAUGAAAUGUUUGAUUUAGUAGUCCAUUUGUCCCUUGUCAGAAGCAUCUUGGAAUGCCUUCAUUUUUCGUUUGUUUACUUGAAUAAUAAUUUGAUUUGGGAUUUCCCAUUUGGCAAGUGGGUUCUGGUCCCAAUAACAUAUACAAUAGGCCUAAUAGUAUUCUGUUCUAAAAAAUCUGUAGUUCCUGGAUUUGAAAAGCAAGUUAUAAGUAAAACUAACAUAUCCUCCAUUUCCCUUCCUGGAUGUAUGACAGAACAUCUUUAUAAUUAUAUUGAUUUUUGCUCAAGUAUCAUUUGUGUUCCUGAGUAUGUCUAGAAGGUUUGGGCAUGGCUGGUGGAUGUGUAAAAGAGUCCAAUUGACAUUUUCUUGGAGGCUUGGAAGAAAAUUGGCCAUAAAGGGCUGUGAGUAUUAGGUGACAUGAGAGAGAAGUAGACAUUAUAAGUGUAUAUGGUGGCUGGAAUUCAAACUUGAUGUGUAUCUAAUAGACCCAUGGAUGACUGACAUAAAAAAGACUAAAGGCCUAGAUCUUAAAGAGACAUUAUGUUACUGGGGACUACUUUAAUUUUCAGGUAGCUUUGUACCUGUGAUCUACUUGUGUUGUAGAGCAAAAGAUCCCAUUGAUUCAAUGCCAGAGGACAGUGGCUCUUGAAACAUUUACAUCCAUUGACUAGAGUUGUUGAAGUUUUGAUACAAGCUGAGUACCACUCCAAUAUUAUGAGAUCAAUUUGCAUGGAGCUGAUGAUAAUUUGUUAAACUCGUGCUGCCCAAGGAGCUCUAGAUCAGGACUUUCUAUUGAAACAAGUCUUUUCUGUGGUUUCUUUUUAUAAAAACCAUGUAUCAAUGAGGUAGAGUAUGGAUGUUGGUAGAAGUCUCACCAUAGCAAUAAGUCCUGGAUCCAUUCUUCCUCGCAAAAUCUUACUCUUAGAGUGCUCAUUUAAUAUUUAUUACUCAAUAGUAUUUGUAUAUAUUACUUCCCAGGGGAGAUAGAUAGUAGAUAAAAAGAAAUAGAAGUGAAGCUCUUAUAUAUGGAAAAAUUUAAGUGUACCAAAAAACUUUGUUGGUUGACACUGGAAUAUAACCUAAUGAAGAGCAAUCACAGCUCCAAGUGGAUUAUCAUUAUUGCCAAUUUCAAACCAAGGAAGUAGAAGUGUUAAUUAAACCAAUGACUGCUCUGUGUCUAAUAUCUCUUCUUUUCCCACCCAUAUACUUAGCAGAUAGUAUUUUCACCCUGCACUUAUUUUGUUGUUUUUAAUUUUUUCCAGCAUAUGUUGGGACCUUGAUAACACAAACGGUAUGUUUUCACAGAUAAAAAUGAUAGUUUGAGGCUCUCUAAUAAUCAGGUGCUUCCCAUGAAGAUCUCUCAAGGUUUUGCAAAGCAUUUAGAGUAUUUCUGGUAUUCUGCAUUGUAGAGAGAAUAUCUUGUGUCUGUAUGAGUGUGGCGCCUCUCAAUAAUAAAUAUGAUGGCCAAUUAGUUGGGUAGGAAGUGGAAGGUGGGACUUCCUGAGAGGGCGAAAGGAACUCUGGGGAGAAGAAGGAGGAAGGUCCUUUCGACAGGAGACAUGAGAGGAGAUGGAUGUAACUAUGGACCUGGGAGUUAUAGCUAGUCACAUGGCUGGAUGGGGCUAGAUGGUUGGGUUAAUUAGAUGAGCUGGUUGAGAGUCUUCCCAGCAAAGACCUCAGGUUUUGAAAUAUUAAAAGGUGUGGUUGUUUGGGGAAAAGCUUAUCAAGGAAUAAUUGCUACUUUAUCAAUUUCUAACAUUAAUAUAUACAGAUCACAAUAACCAUUUAAUCUAUAACACAUUGUGGAGAUGGGCUAUUGCUUCCAACACUGUAACAAAGGUGGGGAAUAAUUCAUAAUUCCCUCCCAAAUUUAAUGUACCUAGGCCUGAACUGUUCUUUCUGGAACAAGCAGGGGACUACAUAUUCAUCCCAGAGUUUUGGUGUGUGAUAUUUAUAUGAAACAAGAGAAGUGUCCAGGAAUUCUUACAUAGGACUCGCUGACUCAGAUGUUCUGGCCCCAGUGGAAGCAGUAAAAGGAGCUAGAUCAUUUAUUUCACAGGGUCAUAUUUAUUUUGGCAAUAGGUUACACGUCUAAGGAUGCUGCAAGCCCAUAAGGGUCUCUUUGCAAAGCUUUCCAGGAGGAGAUGCUAUCAGAAAUACAGACUGUGCCCUGUAAGAGCUCAUAACCCUGGCUAUGAGUGGUUAUGCAGCUGUAUUUCAGUAAGUCUCUGAGUCAUCACCCAAGCUUUACUUCUGGAACAUCUGGGAUGCCUAUGAUAGUCAGGUCACUCUGCAAAUAAAUGUAGUAGGAAUCCCUGGGGUGGACCUGGACAACUGUAUUUUUCCUCCAGUUCCCUUGAGUGGUCAGCAGUCUAACAAAUGCUUAGAAUGACUAGUUCAGUCUCUGCUCUUCCAAAUGUGGUCUUUGGACCAGUAAUAUUAUCCUCACCCAGGGACUUAAUAGGAGUGACGUAUCAUUGCUUUAUUUCAGACCUGCUGAAUCUGAAUCUGCAUUUUUGACAAGAUCCUCAUAACUCUCUCGUGCAGAGAACGUUUCCAGAUGAGUUGAGCACAGUAUGGUGGCUUACAACUAUUUUUCCAGACCAUAGUGGGCUGAAAUAACAGGUUUUUCAAAAUUCUGGUGUCAGCCUGGGCUACACAGUUUCUAGGCAAGACUAAGCUAUAGAGUCAGACCCUAUUUCACUAUCACAAAAGGAAACUUCUAUUAUGAUUAAUCUUCAUUUGUUGUUAACUGGAUUUAAAAUCACCAGGGAUAUGGUGAGGCAUACCUUUGGGUAUGUCUAAGAAGGCUUUUCCAGAGAAGAUUAACUAAGGUGUUAAAAUCCACUCUAAAUGGGAAUAACAUCAUUCCAUGGACUAGAUACCUUGACACAUGAAAAGGGGAACUGUCUGCUUCCUGAUUUGCCAUGUGUGAACUGUGUUGCUCUAUCACUGAGGACUGAACCCUCUGAGGCCAGGGGCUAAGACAAACUCUUCCUCCUUUGAGUUCUGCUGGGAUUUUGACCCAGAGAGGUAGUUACUGGCUACCACAGUAACUGGGCCACCUAAUGAGGUUUCUGAGAUAGGAGAAGGCAAUCUUUCUUUUCCAUUUUAAAGUGACAAAGAAAUGUUUCCCACAUUACAUAUCUGUACAAUUUGUUUCAAAUGUCAUUAACAUGUAUUUGCAGUUUAGAGAUGACUACCUAAUAAUUUUGUAGGCAAAAUGUGAUUCAAAACUAUAGUCAAGACAAUGCUCAGGACAAAUAAUAAGGAUUGGAGAUUGGCCUAUCAAUGUCCUUGGAGGUAUUUCACAAAUAGGACCCCAGGAGGAAAAGGUGGUUGUCUGACUGCUUUUCUUUUGAUAAAGGCCUAUAUCUACUGGGAGAUACAUUAUUUCUGCAAGAGGCAUUUAGAAUGGGAAAGGUUGAUGGGGAUGGAAAACAAUAAAUGCAAGCUUUGACACUUGUGGGAACACAAAUACUGACAAAGGCGAAGUGUAUUUUCAAAGCAAGGGAAAUAUUCACUCUGUGGGUAGAUGGAAUUUACAUAAAACUUGAUCAAAUACACACUCCCAUCCAAAGUUUAACACGGAAGCAUGGCCUUUUUAUAUGGAGCGUUGGUCCUUUGAGAUAACAGAAAAGAGGGGUCAGCAGCUGCAGAGAAUGGGCAUAAAUAUUAAACACCCAGAUGCAAGGAGCUCUAGGCUGGAGAGAGAAAUCUCUUGUUGAACUCUGACGUGCUGGCUUCCCUCCUGGCUGUUUCCUUUACCAAAAGUAGCAGAAACAUGGAGUCUGUAGAAAGAUCUUCAAAAAGAUAGAUUUGAACACAGAUUGACUGGCCUUCUCUAAUAGGACAGAUUUUUUUUCCUGUAAGUCAUUGAAAACCUUAGUGGACAAUGUCAUGUCUACAUUAAGAUCCACAAUCAGCCUGGCUGUAUGUCUGAAGCAUCAGCAGUGUCUUUCUCUCUUUCAUCUCCUGCUCGCCACUUGCUCAUUCCCUCAAUCCUUAUGCUAUUGGUAGUCUUCUAUCAGAACCAGCAUCAGAAAAGCGAUUUCCUUAUUUCACUGUUGCAGGAUGCCCAUGAAUGUUUUAGUGGAUACUUAGGGUAAUUUCCCUUCAUUUAAUUGGUGUCAGCUUGCCCAGUAACAAGAGAAACUAUGCCAAGAUUGUUCCCAACAGUUCUGAUUUGAUCAGACCUGCGCAACAUCCAGCAUCCUGAUGCUCGUUUACAAUGUGCUGGCCUUCCCACUGCCACACCAUGACGGGUCUGCUUGGUUUUACGGGUAGUAUUUGACUUGUCCUUAGAUAAAGGUCAAGGGUAAUUUAUCCACGAGGCAUCAACAUCUUAUUAAACUUUCUAAGCUGGUUGGGAUGUGCCAGACUUAACCCACAACUUUUUGUCUCUGUCACAGAGAAAAAGCAGCUGAUUGGUCCCCAUUCUGUGCCCUGAUCUCCAACCUGCCUGCCUGUAAUGACCUCUGCUCUGUGUUGCCUCUGUCUUGACCUAGAGUUCCACUUUUCUGUAUUACUAACAGUGCUGUGAAGGUCACGUCAUCAACUUGAUGUUAAAUUUACAGACCUGUUUUGUCUAAAUUGAAUUCGUUUCCAACAUUUAGAGAUCAGGAGACUUCACAGAAGGACACAUGUUGCCUGCAUUCUGGGAGGUCUGGCACCAAGGACAACCAGACAGGUACCUCGCAUAACUGUUCUCACCAAGGCUUCACCCAGAAGCUGAUGGAAACAGAUGUAGGGACUCACAGCCAAAUAUCUUGUGCAAAAGGCAGAGGUAGGAUUGGAGGAUUUAGAGAGGUCAAGGAGACAUAAAAACCAACUAACCUGAGAAGAUAGGGGCUCACAGAGACUAAAGAGUAUGCAUGUGAUGGAUUUACCGCCCCCCCCCCCCAACGUAUGUAGCAGAUGUGCAGCUUGGUCUUCAUGAGGAACCACCAACAACUGGAGCAGGGGCUGUCUCUGACUCUGUUGUCUGCCUCUGAGCUGCCUUGCUUAGGUUCAAUUGGAGAAGAAGCAUUUAUUCUUGCAACUUGAUAAGCCAAGGCCUGUGGAUAUCCAUGAGAAGCCUCCCUUUCUCCUCAGAGAAAGGGUAGGUGAGAGGGAGGGUCUGGGAGGAGAGGAGGAAGGAAAACUGUGAUUGGAAUGUAAAGUAAAUAAAUCCAUUUUUAAAAAAGAAAACACAUAUUUCUAUUUUCUUAUUAAAACAAAAAUAGAGCAAGGCAGACUAUCUAGCCAUCUGGGCUAGGUUGACAGAAAUGACUGGGUCUAGGAAGUCUCCAUGGGCCUGAUACCCUUUCCUUCCCCUUGGCCCAUCCCCUUGUACCUUUCAGAGGAUUGGUAGACAACUUUAUCUUAUCUUCUUCACUUACUCUCUUUUCUUGGCAUGCCAGCAUUUCUGUUUAAUUCAGUAUAAUAUUUCAAUUGUCAUAUAGCCCGAGUAUCCUAUCUAUAAAGCACUUAGAAUGAGGAGUGCUUCUGGUUUUCUGUAUUGGAUUUUUAAUUUUGCUUCUGGUCUUAGAAUAUUUCCUCAUAUAUACUAAGAUAUCUUGGGGGCAGGACACACAUCUAGGAAUGAAGUUCCUAUGUAUUUAAUAUAUCCCAGGUACACAUAGCUGCAAGGUGAUUUCAUACAGUGGUUGUAGUGGGAUUUGGUUCUGAUGAGCUGUCAGUGGGGUCAGAUAUGGGAUUUUCACUUUGGCAUCAGGUCAGUCAGUAGUGGUUAACGUUUCCAUUUGUGCAGCAUUUCAAUUUUGCAUUUUCUGUUUACAGAUACCCAACCUUAUUGUUGUCAUUUGGAGAAGUAUUAAUUAGUAACUUUCUAAUAAUUCUGAGUGGUCCUUAGAGUGCAUGAUCCUUUUUUCUUUUCAUGAAAUUUCUGUCUGCAUCUCUCUCCUUUUUCAAAUACAAAUGUAACAACUAUUACUUUGUACCGUGGGCCUAUUUAUUUUAUACUGCAGUACAUCAAAAUUCUUCAAAAUUCUGUUCUUGCUCUCUGCUGUUCCUGUAGAAGGCAGCAUGUCUGGGAACUGUCUGCUUGAUUGGAAGAUGAUCUAAGUUUGAGGGCAUGGUGGAAGUUGAGUUCUUCCAUAAAGGAUUUAUGCCUCUUCCUCCUCUGAGCCGGGGUAUACCUACUUUGGGAUUAUGGAAAUCAAAUUACUUCUUGUGGUUUCUUGGACUACAGAGCUGUUCCUGAUACUGGUGAAUUAAUUAAGGAUAUGAAGAGUUGCAUGGAGUCACCUUCAGACACAUGCUAAUCCCUCAUGCUCCUGGCCCUUGACAAUGCUUUGGAAUCUCAUCACCAGAGAUAAACAAUGUUCUUUAAUCAUGGAUCAGAGAGUGGGAUCAGAGGAGGAGGUUAACACCUGUCAGUGUUGUUUUGUAAUAAUGUUAUGAUUUGUUAUUUGUUUGGGUGAAGGCUAGUGUCUUACUUACGGUUAUUAUGGCUGGGAUGAAACACUGUGACCAAAAACAACUUGGGGAAGAAAGGGUUUAUUUGACUUACAUAUCACAGUCUGUCCAAGGAAGCCCAUACAGAAGCUCAAACUGUGCAGGAGCCUUGAAGCAGGAGCUGAUGAGUAAGUCAUGGAGGAGUGCUGCUUAUUGGCUUGCCCCAAUAGUUUGCUCAUUGAGUUUUUAAUAAAGUUCAAGACUACCUGCCCUAACGUGUCCCCACCCACAACUGGCUGGGCCCUCCCUCUUCAAUCACUAAUUAAGAAAAUUACCCAUAGUCUUGUCUAUCUACAACCUAAGACAUGGAAACAUUUUCUCAAUUGAGGUUCCCUCUUCUCAUAUGACAUUCCCUUGUGUCAGGUUGACAUAAAACUAGCCAGUACAGAUGGAGAAAUGACAUCGAUUUCAAUGUACAAGGCUGCUCAUAUAGUUAAAAUGAUCUAUGAGACAACUUCACCAAAAAUCUAAUACCAAUAUGCAAGCAUUUAUAUAUGCAGUGAUGAUCUCUCUCUCUCUGUCUCUCUCUCUCUCUGUCUCUCUCUGUCUCUCUCUCUCUCUCUCUCUCUCUCUCUCUCUCUCUCUCUCUCUCUCUCUCUCCAGUCCUUGUUAGGAAUCUGGAAUCAAAGCCAUUCUGUGGGACCUGGCCUUGGGUAGAGAAAACACCCAUGGCCGACAGCCUCCUGUCUCCUUCUAAAAUGAAUGCUUCUGACUGAUACUGUGUUAAAUUCUUUGUGAUAAAACUGUUGUGGGAGGAUCAACUGAAUCUUGUUUCCUUUUAGUGGAAUGCCCAAGAUGACUGGCAUACAAACCACACAGUAUGGACUCCUACUUGUUUUCCACCAGAACUGAGGUUCUGUUGUCUGCCUCCCUUCAGCUACUUCCUGCUGAUCAAGGAAAACAAUGCACUUCAUGGCUGAUAAAAACCUAAAAAAUCAUCUCUCUUCACUUUUUAUUUUCUCCGAGACAUCGAUGCAUUCCUUUAUUCAGAAUUGCCAUCAACAGAGGACUCAUUCAGCAUAUCCAAUCUUCUAUAUGAUAAGAACAGAAAUCCCGAAGUGAAUGUAUAUGUUGUGUGCAUAUACAUUUAUGAAUAAUAUAUAUGUACAUGCAUGAACAUCCACCUAUUUAUAUUUAUAGCUAUGCACACACACAUUUUACCUAUGGGUACAUAUGAACUUACACAUGUAUUCAUGAUGCUAUAGUAAUCUGGCUUUCACUCAUGAGUUGUCACUGAAAGAUGUGUUGCCUUCCAUAUCUUUUAAUCUUUUACUAUAUCAGACUAUUGGUUAGUCAAUUACUAUAUGUCAACCACUCAUUGCCUAUACCACCACAUAUGGCCUAUGAGCUGUUUUUAAAAGUAAACUUUUGCAAGAACAUAGUCACACCCAUAUAGGCACACCAUGAAGAUUUGCAUCAGUCAUGAAGUAUGUUGGUUUCCUUGGUCAGCAGAAAGUAGCUGAAGGGAGGUAUAGAAGCCUCAGCCCAAGUGUAGUGGAGAAGGAAAUAGGACCAUGUGCUGUGUGGAUCACGUGCUAAUCGCCUUGGGCAUUCCACUGACAGGAUUUAAGAUUCUGUUGUUCCUCCCACAUCAGUAAUACUACAAAUUAUUUAACUGUCUACGGCUGCCACAGUAGCAUUGAUAGACCAGACCUUCUGGCCUCCAAAGUCUAAAGAGCUUGCUCUUUAAUCCUUUAUAGAAACAGUUUAAUGAUCCCUGUCCUUAUCGAGACUCUGAUCACUACAUUGCAUUGGGAUAAAAUAUUUUCUAGUGUGGCUUCUCUUUGUAUUUUGUCCUCUGUGUGUGUGUGUGUGUGUGUGUGUGUGUGUGUGUGUGUGUGUGUGUGUGUUCAAGUUACUAUAAAAACAGAAUCUUAUGAGUGGACCAGGCUUGAGUACCUAGGGUUAGAUAGUACAUAUGAAAAGGAAGCAAUAGCUACUCCUAGGUACCUAUUUCAUAGGCCCCUAGUGGUCUAUGAAAAAUAUGAUUAGGUUUAUGAUUAUAGUUAAAAUCCUGACCUGCAUGUGAUGGUCCCUUGCCAUUAAUAUCAAGAAGCAAGGGAUGUCAAUCACAGAUAGCUGAGCUAUGCUAAGAGGGUGGGGAGACAAUUUAUAUUGACUGUCCUUGGGGACACCAUUAGGAACUGACCUGACUCUGCUCUCUCCCUACAGUAUAAGUGGUUGAAUUCUAGCAGAGGCCGUGGUUGCUUUCCUUCAAUCAGCUAAAAUACUUGGUCUUGUAGGGACUGUCUCUGUUUCACAGGGACCACAAAACAGGGCACAUGCAGUAUAUAUCAUGUCACCCAGAGGACCAAGGAAUGGAAAUUGGAGACUUUACAGGGCACUAAAACCAGGCUUCUGUUUUUGACAGCUUGGAUACCUGUUUAAUUCAACUACUUGCUGGGCAGAUUAGCAAAGAUGUGGCUAAGUUUUUCUGGCCACAGUUGGCUUCCCCUUAAAGCUCAUGAAAGACCCAGGUGAUUCUGAUAUUUAACCACUAGGAACAAUCAGACCCAGGCUUUUUUCCUGAUGAUUCAUUUUGUUUUUAAUAUGAGCACAUGAGUGUGGGUGUUCAUAGAGCCAGAAGAGAGUAUUGGAUCCCCUAGAGCUAGAGAUGCAAGCAUUUGUGAGCCAGCCCAUGUGGGUGCUGGAAUUCAAACUUAGGUCAUCUGCACAAGCAGCAAGUGUACUUAUCUGCUGGGCUAGCUCUUCAACCCCAAGUUCUGAAUCAUAUGGGAAGCAAGGGUUUAAAAACUGUAUUUGUGAACCGGAUGUAGAUCUCUCCUGAGAGACACAGCCAGAAUAUGGCAAGUACAUAGGCGAAUGCCAGCAGCAAACCACUGAACUGAGAACGGGACUCCUGUUGAAGGAAUCAGAGAAAGGACUGAAAGAGCUUGAAGGGGCUCGAGACCCCUUAUGAACAACAAUGCCAAGCAACCAGAGCUUCCAGGGACUAAGCCACUACCCAAAGACUAUACAUGGACUGACCCUGGACUCUGACCUCAUAGGUAGCAAUGAAUAGCCUAGUAAGAGCACCAGUGGAAGGGGAAGC